AUUGAACGCUGGCGGCAGGCCUAACACAUGCAAGUCGAGCGGCAGCGGGAAAGUAGCUUGCUACUUUUGCCGGCGAGCGGCGGACGGGUGAGUAAUGCCUGGGAAAUUGCCCAGUCGAGGGGGAUAACAGUUGGAAACGACUGCUAAUACCGCAUACGCCCUACGGGGGAAAGCAGGGGACCUUCAGGCCUUGCGCGAUUGGAUAUGCCCAGGUGGGAUUAGCUAGUUGGUGAGGUAAUGGCUCACCAAGGCGACGGUGCCUAGCUGGUCUGAGAGGAUGAUCAGCCACACUGGAACUGAGACACGGUCCAGACGCCUACGGGAGGCAGCAGUGGGGAAUAUUGCACAAUGGGGGAAACCCUGAUGCAGCCAUGCCGCGUGUGUGAAGAAGGCCUUCGGGUUGUAAAGCACUUUCAGCGAGGAGGAAAGGUUGAUGCCUAAUACGUAUCAACUGUGACGUUACUCGCAGAAGAAGCACCGGCUAACUCCGUGCCAGCCGCCGCAGUAA
rnacentral:rRNA from 1 species